ACUCCUGCGGGAGGCAGCAGUGGGGAAUUUUGGACAAUGGGCGAAAGCCUGAUCCAGCAAUGCCGCGUGUGUGAAGAAGGCCUUCGGGUUGUAAAGCACUUUUGUCCGGAAAGAAAUCCUUGGCUCUAAUACAGUCGGGGGAUGACGGUACCGGAAGAAUAAGCACCGGCUAACUACGUGCCAGCAGCCGCGGUAAUACGUAGGGUGCGAGCGUUAAUCGGAAUUACUGGGCGUAAAGCGUGCGCAGGCGGUUUGCUAAGACCGAUGUGAAAUCCCCGGGCUCAACCUGGGAACUGCAUUGGUGACUGGCAGGCUAGAGUAUGGCAGAGGGGGGUAGAAUUCCACGUGUAGCAGUGAAAUGCGUAGAGAUGUGGAGGAAUACCGAUGGCGAAGGCAGCCCCCUGGGCCAAUACUGACGCUCAUGCACGAAAGCGUGGGGAGCAAACAGGAUUAGAAACCCUAGUAGUCCC
rnacentral:rRNA from 1 species